AAUUUAUACAAUGUUGGUAAACGACGGAAUGGAAAAUUUAUACAAAUAAAAAAUAUAUCGUCUCGUCUCACGCUGAUUGUAUGCAAAUCGGUCGCGACAUUUUUGAUAUACGCCGUGACAACGUUCACGACCCAUUCCGUUCUCCGAAACUGAUAUUUCCCCAUUUUAAAUAAUAAUAAACCGAGUAUUCGCAAGAUUCCAGGGGUUAUAAUAUUAUAUUGCUAACCGCUAAAUGUAAUAUCGUGUAGAAAGGUGUAGAUAACAAUAUUUAUAAGCCAAUAUUUUCGUUACAGUGAGUUAUUUCACCCACUCCUCUUCCCUCUGCUACUCUAAAUAUGAAUAAAUAAUAACAAUUAUCAUACGUUUAAAACGAUAAAACAAUCAAAUUAUGAUCUUUUUUUGUUUUGCAUCCCUCCGAAAAAUUGUCUCGACCUCCGAGGUAAAUAAUCUUAU